GAAUUGUUAUUCAAGAUCAAGAAAUUUAUUUUUAUCAGGUAGAUGUAAAAGUGAACUUAGUAGUGUAGAAGCGAAAUGUUUGACAAAUGAUUUUAUUUAUUUCAUGGUUAGAAGCUGUUAAGGUAGAUUACAAGUGAGGUAAAUUAAGUAAAAGGAGUUUUAGCUAACGUACCUUUAGCAUCAUGGGCUUAGGAUUAAUUAAUUCAUGCUUUAGCGGAGUAUGUUUCCCGAAAGGAAGCGAGGAUCUUGGUUUGGUUCCUUCUCUUGUGACAUUACGGCUAAGUAAUCAAAUCACGGAAUGAAAUGUGAGUCGGUUCUUCUGAUUAUCUGGUCUGCUUAACCCUCAUCAUCUCUGAGGAGAUACCUAUCUAAGGCUUGGUUGAAAGUUUAGGUGGGUUAACAAUUCGGGGAUAAUCUCUUAUUUGUACAGAGGAUGUAGAAAGUGCUAUGUUGGUUACUUUCUUGUCAGAGUGUCUACCAUACAAGGAUUUAUGAAGACUUCUAUGUGUACAACGCAGCUUGUGUAAAAUAAUGAUCUCGGGCAACUGAAUCUAAGUAUGAGUAAUUAGUAACUUAAGGCUUAUAGAAAGGAAUUAGGCAACCUAAAGGGUUCGAAUGUCUAGUAAAAACAUUUCCUAAAGAAAAUAAUUUUAGGUAUGACCUGCUCAGUGCUGUAGAUAGUAAAUAGCUGCAGUAACCGUAACUGUAAAAAUGUAGCAUAAUCAAUUGUCUCUUAAUUGGAGUCUAGGAUGAACGGUCUAACGUAACCCUGUCUGUCUCUCUUUAAUUACAUGAAGUUAAAUUCUAAGUUAAAAUGCUUAGAUGUAAAGAUUGGACGAAAAGACCCUAAAGAUUUUCACUUGAUUUCGUUCUAAGGGAUGAAAUUCUAGGUUACCUGGGAUGAGGUAGUCAGUUCUAAGUAACGACUUUCAAUAUACAGCCAACACGGCUAUGAUGAUCCUAUUGAGAUUAAAUGAGUUUAAUUACCUUAGGGCUAACAGCGUGAUAACUAUUCUCAGAACUUAUGGGAAUGGUGGUUUACGACCUCGAUGUUGAAUUGGGUACACUUUUCAUAGAAGAAUAUGGAAGAGUGAGACUGUUCGUUUCUUAAUUACCCACAUGAUUUGAGUUUAGACCGACGUGAGUCAGGUCAGAUUCUAUCCAUCUUCUUAAGAGACUUUUCAGUACGAAAGGACUUAAAGUCUUGCUCUUUACUAUU
rnacentral:rRNA from 1 species